GCAUAAGACCACAGUGUCGCAUGGCACAGGGGUCGAAAGGAAGUUUAUCCGCUGAAAGAUGGGCUCGCGUCCGAUUAGCUAGAUGGUGAGGUAACGGCCCACCAUGGCGACGAUCGGUAGCCGGACUGAGAGGUUGAACGGCCACAUUGGGACUGAGACACGGCCCAGACUCCUACGGGAGGCAGCAUG
rnacentral:rRNA from 1 species